CGUACGUUCUGCUAUGCUGUAUGUCACUUGCGUUGUAUACUUGCGAUGCAUAUCUCUCAGUGGCAUCAGGAGGGAGCGUGUGGUUUCCUAAUCACAUUGUUAUACUUAUACCAGAUGAUCGAGAUGUGGACUAGAAAACAAGGAGACGGCAUAAAGUUCUCCAAUUCAUAGUCAAUUUAUUUCACUUCAUUCGAGAGGAAUUACAUUGCUAUGUUUAGGCAUAAAUUACUAUUAACCUUUAUGUUUCCUGUUUAUUAGCCUAUACUAGGAUUUCUCGAAGGUGAAUAACAUAUAUCAGUGGGUUGCACAAAUUGAUUUAACCCUGAAGAUGCUGCAUACGUAAGUUUUAAAGAUAAGAAACAUUUAGAAGAGUUACAUAUGAAGUGGAGUUACGAAUUCAAUACCAAUGGAAGAGAAUUGGAUGUCUUGUGAGGCUCUUCAAUCAAAUAGCAACUUGAAGAAGCUCAACAUCAAACGCUACAAAGGUAAUCGUUUUCCAAGUUGGCUAAGUUGGCUAAAGGGUUGUGGAUUAUGUUCUCGUUUGCCACGACUUUGGCAACUGCCCUCUCUCUAGAAACUUCAUGUUUGUGACUCUGAUGAAAUAAAGAUCAUCAGUGAAGAAUUUUACGACAAUAAUUCAACAAUUUUUCCAUUUAGGUCCCUUGAAGUUUUGAUAUUUGACUAGAUGCAUUGUUUGGAGGACUGGUUAUGUCUUGAUGGGUUUCCUUUGCUGAAAGAGCUUUACACAAGAGGAUGGCUCGAAUUGAAAAGGGCUUUGCCUCACGAUACUAACACUGUCACAUAGACACCGAUAAUAACUUACGAAAAUGAAAUUGAUUAAAUGCAACCUCAUGUAUCGUUAUUGGACACCAACAUGUGUCGUACCUCAGAUACGCUUUAAGUCUGAAGUGUUAGUGCUACAAGUCCUGUUCUAGUACUACUGUAACGGCUCAAGUUCAAUAGUAUUCAGAUUGUUACUGAACAUGUCUCAGAAGCAAGUGAUGUUUCAUGGAGGAACAUGAGAGCAUCCUACAGACUAGUACCACUUUAUAGAUUUGGUGUCUUAUUGCAAUAUCACUGCUUCCAAUUUUCUUGCAAUAGCUUGCUGUUCAAGGAAAAGCUAAUUAUAAGCAAAGGAAACCCAUAUUUCUUCUAGAGAUUUGGAGACCCAUCUCUAAGUGAUCUUUAAGAGAUGAGAGAUUAGAGAUUGCAUGCUUGAGGUUCUAUGUUCAAAUCUAAAUUCCUCCAUUGUAAAAAAAUAAAAAUAAAAAAA
rnacentral:lncRNA from 1 species